rnacentral:rRNA from 1 species
AGCGAACGCUGGCGGCAGGCCUAACACAUGCAAGUCGAGCGCCCAGCAAUGGGAGCGGCAGACGGGUGAGUAACGCGUGGGGAUCUACCCAUUGGUACGGAAUAACCCAGGGAAACUUGGAUUAAUACCGUAUGAGCCCUUCGGGGGAAAGAUUUAUCGCCAAUGGAUGAACCCGCGUCUGAUUAGCUAGUUGGUGAGGGAAGGGCUCACCAAGGCGACGAUCAGUAGCUGGUCUGAGAGGAUGAUCAGCCACACUGGGACUGAGACACGGCCCAGACUCCUACGGGAGGAAGCAGUGGGGAAUAUUGGACAAUGGGCGCAAGCCUGAUCCAGCCAUGCCGCGUGAGUGAUGAAGGCCUUAGGGUUGUAAAGCUCUUUCGCCGGUGAAGAUAAUGACGGUAACCGGAGAAGAAGCCCCGGCUAACUUCGUGCCAGCAGCCGCCGUAACAC